AUUGAACGCUGGCGGCAGGCCUAACACAUGCAAGUCGAGCGGAGCGGCGGUCGGGCGAGUAAUGCCUAGGAAUCUGCCUGUGACAGGGGGAUAACGUCCGGAAACGGGCGCUAACGCCGCAUCCUCUCAGAUGAGCCUAGGCCGGAUGAGCUAGUUGGUGGGGGAAAGGCUUACCAAGGCGACGAUCCGUAACUGGUCUGAGAGGAUGAUCAGUCACACUGGGACUGAGACACGGUCCAGACUCCGCCGGGAGGCAGCAGUGGGGAAUAUUGCACAAGGGGCGAAAGCCUGAUCCAGCCAGGCCGCGUGGGUGAAGAAGGUCUUAGGGUUGUAAAGUACGUUAAGCUGGGAGGCGUUACCCGCAGAAGAAGCACCGGCGAACUUCUUGCCAGCAGCCGCGGUAAUAC
rnacentral:rRNA from 1 species